GAUGAACGCUAGCUACAGGCUUAACACAUGCAAGUCGAGGGGCAGCAUGGUCUUAGCUUGCUAAGGCCGACGGCGACCGGCGCGACGGGUGAGUAACACGUAUCCAACCUGCCGUCGUACUCUUGGACAGCCUUCUGAAAGGAAGAUUAAUACAAGAUGGCAUCAUGAGUUCCGCAAGUGUUACACUAUGAUUAAAGGUAUUCCGGUAGACGAUGGGGAUGCGUUCCAUUAGAUAGUAGGCGGGUAACGGCCCACUAGUCUUCGAUGGAUAGGGGUUCUGAG
rnacentral:rRNA from 1 species